UCGGAUACUCGUAAUUUUCCU
rnacentral:piRNA from 1 species